AUCACAGUCUUCAUGCUCUGCUUCUGUGGCUAUUCUGAACACUAACUGCAGUAACAUAUCAACUUAUGACUUUAUGUGUGCCGUUACAAUAUAUAAUAAAGUGGAUCGUUUUCCUUUCAACCCGUGUUCAACAACAGCCGAAAACAACGCAAAUACAGUCUGGUUCUGGUGCAGGCUCAUCAUUGUGGUUUUGGGUUUAACUGCAUUAAUAACAGUUGUUGUGGUCGUCAUCAUAUGGGCAAGAGCUGG